GACGUAGGGCGCGAGCGUUGUCCGGAAUUAUUGGGCGUAAAGAGCUCGUAGGCGGCUUGUCGCGUCGACUGUGAAAACCCGCGGCUCAACCGCGGGCCUGCAGCCGAUACGGGCAGGCUAGAGUUCGGUAGGGGAGACUGGAAUUCCUGGUGUAGCGGUGAAAUGCGCAGAUAUCAGGAAGAACACCUAUGGCGAAGGCAGCACUCUGGGACGGUACUGACGCUGAGACGCGAAAGCGUGGGGAGCGAACAGG
rnacentral:rRNA from 1 species